rnacentral:rRNA from 1 species
AUACGUAGGGGGCGAGCGUUGUCCGGAAUGAUUGGGCGUAAAGGGCGCGUAGGCGGCCCGGUAAGUCUGGAGUGAAAGUCCUGUUUUUAAGAUGGGAAUUGCUUUGGAUACUGUCGGGCUUGAGUGCAGGAGAGGUAAGUGGAAUUCCCAGUGUAGCGGUGAAAUGCGUAGAGAUUGGGAGGAACACCAGUGGCGAAGGCGACUUACUGGACUGUAACUGACGCUGAGGCGCGAAAGUGUGGGGAGCAAACAGGAUUAGAUACCCUGGUAGUCCACACUGUAAACGAUGAAUGCUAGGUGUAGGGGGUAUCGACCCCUUCUGUGCCGCAGUCAACACAAUAAGCAUUCCGCCUGGGGAGUACGGCCGAAAGGUUGAAACUCAAAUGAAUUGACGGG